AUUGAACGCUGGCGGCAGGCCUAACACAUGCAAGUCGAACGGUAACAGGAAGAAGCUUGCUUCUUUGCUGACGAGUGGCGGACGGGUGAGUAAUGUCUGGGAAACUGCCUGAUGGAGGGGGAUAACUACUGGAAACGGUAGCUAAUACCGCAUAACGUCGCAAAACCAAAGAGGGGGACCUUCGGGCCUCUUGCCAUCGGAUGUGCCCAGAUGGGAUUAGCUAGUAGGUGGGGUAACGGCCCACCUAGGCAACGAUCCCUAGCUGGUCUGAGAGGAUGACCAGCCACACUGGAACUGAGACACGGUCCAGACUCCUACGGGAGGCAGCAGUGGGGAAUAUUGCACAAUGGGCGCAAGCCUGAUGCAGCCAUGCCGCGUGUAUGAAGAAGGCCUUCGGGUUGUAAAGUACUUUCAGCGGGGAGGAAGGGAGUAAAGUUAAUACCUUUGCUCAUUGACGUUACCCGCAGAAGAAGCACCGGCUAACUCCGUG
rnacentral:rRNA from 1 species